ACCAGACUCCUACGGGAGGCAGCAGUGGGGGAUAUUGCACAAUGGGGGGAACCCUGAUGCAGCGACGCCGCGUGGGUGAAGAAGCGCCUCGGCGCGUAAAGCCCUGUCAGCAGGGAAGAAAAUGACGGUACCUGAAGAAGAAGCCCCGGCUAACUACGUGCCAGCAGCCGCGGUAAUACGUAGGGGGCAAGCGUUAUCCGGAUUUACUGGGUGUAAAGGGGGCGCAGACGGCGAUGCAAGCCAGGAGUGAAAGCCCGGGGCCCAACCCCGGGACUGCUCUUGGAACUGCGUGGCUGGAGUGCAGGAGGGGCAGGCGGAAUUCCUGGUGUAGCGGUGAAAUGCGUAGAUAUUAGGAGGAACACCAGUGGCGAAGGCGGCCUGCUGGACUGCAACUGACGUUGAGGCUCGAAGGCGUGGGGAGCAAACAGGAUUAGAUACCCGAGUAU
rnacentral:rRNA from 1 species